GUGAGACAGUUCGGUCCAUAUCCGGUAUGCGCGCAAGAGAAUUGAUCGGAGUCUUCCUUAGUACGAGAGGACCGGGAAGAGGGAACCUCCAGUGUACGGGUUAUCGCGCCAGCGGUAAACGCCCGGUAGCUGUGUUCCAAGCGGAUAAGUGCUGAAAGCAUAUAAGUACGAAGCCCACCGAAAGAUGAGUUCUCUCACAGAGUAAUCUGGUAAGUCCCCAUGCAGAUCACGUGGUUGAUAGGAUGCAGAUAGAAGUAUGGCAACAUAUGUAGUCGAGCAUUACUAAUAGUACGAGGGCUUUUCCUA
rnacentral:rRNA from 1 species